GAUGAACGCUAGCGGGAGGCCUAACACAUGCAAGCCGAGCGGUAUUGUUUCUUCGGAAAUGAGAGAGCGGCGUACGGGUGCGUAACACGUGUGCAACCUGCCUUUAUCUGGGGGAUAGCCUUUCGAAAGGAAGAUUAAUACUCCAUAAUAUAUUGAACGGCAUCGUUUAAUAUUGAAAGCUCCGGCGGAUAGAGAUGGGCACGCGCAAGAUUAGCUAGUUGGUGAGGUAACGGCUCACCAAGGCGAUGAUCUUUAGGGGGCCUGAGAGGGUGGUCCCCCACACUGGUACUGAGACACGGACCAGACUCCUACGGGAGGCAGCAGUGAGGAAUAUUGGUCAAUGGGUGCAAGCCUGAACCAGCCAUCCCGCGUGAAGGACGACUGCCAUAUGGGUUGUAAACUUCUUUUGUAUAGGGAUAAACCUACCCUCGUGAGGGUAGCUGAAGGUACUAUACGAAUAAGCACCGGCUAACUCCGUGCCAGCAGCCGCCGCAGUAA
rnacentral:rRNA from 1 species